GACGAACGCUGGCGGCGUGCCUAAUACAUGCAAGUAGAACGCUGAAGGAGGAGCUUGCUCUUCUGGAUGAGUUGCGAACGGGUGAGUAACGCGUAGGUAACCUGCCUGGUAGCGGGGGAUAACUAUUGGAAACGAUAGCUAAUACCGCAUAACAGUAGAUGUUGCAUGACAUUUACUUAAAAGGUGCAAUUGCAUCACUACCAGAUGGACCUGCGUUGUAUUAGCUAGUUGGUGGGGUAACGGCUCACCAAGGCGACGAUACAUAGCCGACCUGAGAGGGUGAUCGGCCACACUGGGACUGAGACACGGCCCAGACUCCUACGGGAGGCAGCAGUAGGGAAUCUUCGGCAAUGGACGGAAGUCUGACCGAGCAACGCCGCGUGAGGGAAGAAGGUUUUCGGAUCGUAAAGCUCUGUUGUAAGAGAAGAACGAGUGUGAGAGUGGAAAGUUCACACUGUGACGGUAGCUUACCAGAAAGGGACGGCUAACUACGUG
rnacentral:rRNA from 1 species